rnacentral:rRNA from 1 species
UAGGGAAUCUUCCGCAAUGGACGCAAGUCUGACGGAGCAACGCCGCGUGAGUGAAGAAGGAUUUCGGUUCGUAAAACUCUGUUGUUAGAGAAGAACAGCGCAUAGAGUAACUGUUAUGCGUGUGACGGUAUCUAACCAGAAAGCCACGGCUAACUACGUGCCAGCAGCCGCGGUAAUACGUAGGUGGCAAGCGUUGUCCGGAAUUAUUGGGCGUAAAGCGAGCGCAGGCGGUCAAUUAAGUCUGAUGUGAAAGCCCCCGGCUCAACCGGGGAGGGUCAUUGGAAACUGGUUGACUUGAGUGCAGAAGAGGAGAGUGGAAUUCCAUGUGUAGCGGUGAAAUGCGUAGAUAUAUGGAGGAACACCAGUGGCGAAGGCGACUCUCUGGUCUGUAACUGACGCUGAGGCUCGAAAGCGUGGGUAGCAAACAGG